rnacentral:rRNA from 1 species
ACGACUCUCGGCGACGGAUAUCUCGGCUCUCGCAUCGAUGAAGAACGUAGCGAAAUGCGAUACUUGGUGUGAAUUGCAGAAUCCCGUGAACCAUCGAGUCUUUGAACGCAAGUUGCGCCCCAAGCCUUCAGGCCGAGGGCACGUCUGCCUGGGUGUCACAAAUCGUCGUCCCCAUCCUUUGCGGAUAA